UCCUGAUUAGAUCAGUUGGUCAGAACAUGGUACAAAUAACACCAAGGUCGUGUGUUUGAUUCCCGUAUGGGUCA